CUUAUGACCUGGGCUACACACGUGUACAAUGGACAGAACAAAGGGUGCAAGACCGCAAGGUUUAGCCAAUCCCAUAAAUCUGUUCUCAGUUCGGAUCGCAGUCUGCAACUCGACUGCGUGAAGCUGGAAUCGCUAGUAAUCGCGGAUCAGCAUGCCGCGGUGAAUACGUUCCCGGGCCUUGUACACACCGCCCGUCACACCACGAGAGUUUGCAACACCCGAAGUCGGUGAGGUAACUUUUAUGGAGCCAGCCGCCGAAGGUGGGGCAGAUGAUUGGGG
rnacentral:rRNA from 1 species